AUACGGAGGAUGCGAGCGUUAUCCGGAUUUAUUGGGUUUAAAGGGAGCGUAGGUGGGAUAUUAAGUCAGCUGUGAAAGUUUGGGGCUCAACCUUAAAAUUGCAGUUGAUACUGGUUUCCUUGAGUACGGUACAGGUGGGCGGAAUUCGUGGUGUAGCGGUGAAAUGCUUAGAUAUCACGAAGAACUCCGAUCGCGAAGGCAGCUCACCGGGCCGGAACUGGCACUGAUGCUCGAAAGUGCGGGUAUCAAACAGGAUUAGAUACCCUGGUAGUCCGCACAGUAAACGAUGAAUACUCGCUGUUUGCGAUACACUGUAAGCGGCCAAGCGAAAGCGUUAAGUAUUCCACCUGGGGAGUACGCCGGCAACGGUGAAACUCAAAGGAAUUGACGGGG
rnacentral:rRNA from 1 species